UACAGAGGGCUCAAGCGUUGUUCGGAAUCACUGGGCGUAAAGCGCACGUAGGCGGAUUGCUAAGUCAGGGGUGAAAUCCUGGAGCUCAACUCCAGAACUGCCUUUGAUACUGGCGAUCUCGAGUCCGGGAGAGGUGAGUGGAACUGCGAGUGUAGAGGUGAAAUUCGUAGAUAUUCGCAAGAACACCAGUGGCGAAGGCGGCUCACUGGCCCGGUACUGACGCUGAGGUGCGAAAGCGUGGGGAGCAAACAGG
rnacentral:rRNA from 1 species